GGGACACGUGGUAUCCUGUCUGAAUAUGGGGGGACCAUCCUCCAAGGCUAAAUACUCCUGACUGACCGAUAGUGAACCAGUACCGUGAGGGAAAGGCGAAAAGAACCCCGGCGAGGGGAGUGAAAAAGAACCUGAAACCGUGUACGUACAAGCAGUGGGAGCCUCUUAAUGGGGUGACUGCGUACCUUUUGUAUAAUGGGUCAGCGACUUAUAUUCUGUAGCAAGGUUAACCGAAUAGGGGAGCCGAAGGGAAACCGAGUCUUAACUGGGCGUUAAGUUGCAGGGUAUAGACCCGAAACCCGGUGAUCUAGCCAUGGGCAGGUUGAAGGUUGGGUAACACUAACUGGAGGACCGAACCGACUAAUGUUGAAAAAUUAGCGGAUGACUUGUGGCUGGGGGUGAAAGGCCAAUCAAACCGGGAGAUAGCUGGUUCUCCCCGAAAGCUAUUUAGGUAGCGCCUCGUGAAUUCAUCUCCGGGGGUAGAGCACUGUUUCGGCAAGGGGGUCAUCCCGACUUACCAACCCGAUGCAAACUGCGAAUACCGGAGAAUGUUAUCACGGGAGACACACGGCGGGUGCUAACGUCCGUCGUGAAGAGGGAAACAACCCAGACCGCCAGCUAAGGUCCCAAAGUCAUGGUUAAGUGGGAAACGAUGUGGGAAGGCCCAGACAGCCAGGAUGUUGGCUUAGAAGCAGCCAUCAUUUAAAGAAAGCGUAAUAGCUCACUGGUCGAGUCGGCCUGCGCGGAAGAUGUAACGGGGCUAAACCAUGCACCGAAGCUGCGGCAGCGACACUGUGUGUUGUUGGGUAGGGGAGCGUUCUGUAAGCCUGCGAAGGUGUGCUGUGAGGCAUGCUGGAGGUAUCAGAAGUGCGAAUGCUGACAUAAGUAACGAUAAAGCGGGUGAAAAGCCCGCUCGCCGGAAGACCAAGGGUUCCUGUCCAACGUUAAUCGGGGCAGGGUGAGUCGACCCCUAAGGCGAGGCCGAAAGGCGUAGUCGAUGGGAAACAGGUUAAUAUUCCUGUACUUGGUGUUACUGCGAAGGGGGGACGGAGAAGGCUAUGUUGGCCGGGCGACGGUUGUCCCGGUUUAAGCGUGUAGGCUGGUUUUCCAGGCAAAUCCGGAAAACCAAGGCUGAGGCGUGAUGACGAGGCACUACGGUGCUGAAGCGACAAAUGCCCUGCUUCCAGGAAAAGCCUCUAAGCAUCAGGUAACAUCAAAUCGUACCCCAAACCGACACAGGUGGUCAGGUAGAGAAUACCAAGGCGCUUGAGAGAACUCGGGUGAAGGAACUAGGCAAAAUGGUGCCGUAACUUCGGGAGAAGGCACGCUGAUAUGUAGGUGAAGCGACUUGCUCGUGGAGCUGAAAUCAGUCGAAGAUACCAGCUGGCUGCAACUGUUUAUUAAAAACACAGCACUGUGCAAACACGAAAGUGGACGUAUACGGUGUGACGCCUGCCCGGUGCCGGAAGGUUAAUUGAUGGGGUUAGCGGCAACGCGAAGCUCUUGAUCGAAGCCCCGGUAAACGGCGGCCGUAACUAUAACGGUCCUAAGGUAGCGAAAUUCCUUGUCGGGUAAGUUCCGACCUGCACGAAUGGCGUAAUGAUGGCCAGGCUGUCUCCACCCGAGACUCAGUGAAAUUGAACUCGCUGUGAAGAUGCAGUGUACCCGCGGCAAGACGGAAAGACCCCGUGAACCUUUACUAUAGCUUGACACUGAACAUUGAGCCUUGAUGUGUAGGAUAGGUGGGAGGCUUUGAAGUGUGGACGCCAGUCUGCAUGGAGCCGACCUUGAAAUACCACCCUUUAAUGUUUGAUGUUCUAACGUUGGCCCCUAAUCGGGGUUGCGGACAGUGUCUGGUGGGUAGUUUGACUGGGGCGGUCUCCUCCUAAAGAGUAACGGAGGAGCACGAAGGUUGGCUAAUCCUGGUCGGACAUCAGGAGGUUAGUGCAAUGGCAUAAGCCAGCUUGACUGCGAGCGUGACGGCGCGAGCAGGUGCGAAAGCAGGUCAUAGUGAUCCGGUGGUUCUGAAUGGAAGGGCCAUCGCUCAACGGAUAAAAGGUACUCCGGGGAUAACAGGCUGAUACCGCCCAAGAGUUCAUAUCGACGGCGGUGUUUGGCACCUCGAUGUCGGCUCAUCACAUCCUGGGGCUGAAGUAGGUCCCAAGGGUAUGGCUGUUCGCCAUUUAAAGUGGUACGCGAGCUGGGUUUAGAACGUCGUGAGACAGUUCGGUCCCUAUCUGCCGUG
rnacentral:rRNA from 1 species